CCUACGGGUGGCAGCAGUGGGGAAUAUUGCACAAUGGCGGAAACCCUGAUGCAGCAACGCCGCGUGAAGGAAGACGGUUUUCGGAUUGGUAAAUUCUGUUCUUAGUGAAGAAUAAUGACGGUAUCUAACGACUAAGCACCGGCUAACUCCGUGCCCGCAGCCGCGGUACUACGGAGGGUGCACGCGUUAACCGGAAUCACUGGGCGUAAAGGGUGCGUAGGCGGGGUAAUAAGUCAGAUGUGAAAUCCUGUAGCUUAACUACAGAACUGCAGUUGAAACUGUUACUCUUGAGUGUGGGAGAGGUAGGUGGAAUGCGUGGUGUAGCGGUAAAAUCCUUAGAGAUCAAGAGGAAUUCUCAUUGCGAAGGCGACCUGCUGGAACAUUACUGACGCUGAUGCACGAAAGCGUGGGGAGCAAACAGGAUUAGAUACCCUUGUAGUC
rnacentral:rRNA from 1 species